GCUGGGUGUGGUGGCACAUGCCUGUAAUUCCAGCUAUUAGGGAGGCUGGGGCAGGAGGAUUGCAAGUUGGAGGCAAGACUUGACAAUUUAGUGAGACCCUGUCUCAA
rnacentral:sRNA from 1 species